UUUCUCAGUUGGUGAGAGCGCACGACUCAUAAUCGUGAGGUCGCGGGUUCAAGCCCCG
rnacentral:tRNA from 1 species